GAUGAACGCUAGCUACAGGCUUAACACAUGCAAGUCGAGGGACCGGCGCACGGGUGAGUAACACGUAUCCAACCUGCCCUUUACUCGGGGAUAGCCUUUCGUAAGAAAGAUUAAUACCCGAUAUAAAGGAUGGGGAUGCGUUCCAUUAGGUUGUUGGUGCGGUAACGGCUCACCAAGCCUUCGAUGGAUAGGGGUUCGGAGCGGAAGGUCCCCCACAUUGAAACUAAGACACGAUCCAAACUCUGACGGGAGGCAGCAGUGAGGAAUAUUGGUCAAUGAGCGCUAGAUUGAACCAGCCAAGUAGUGUGAAGAUCGAAGGCUUAUGGGUCGUAAACUUCUUUUAUAUAAGAAUAUGUAUUAUAUGAAUAAGGAUCGACUAACUCCGUGACAGCGGCCGCGGUAAUAC
rnacentral:rRNA from 1 species